rnacentral:rRNA from 1 species
AACGGAGGGGGCUAGCGUUGUUCGGAAUUACUGGGCGUAAAGCGCGCGUAGGCGGACCUGCAAGUCGGGGGUGAAAGCCCGAGGCUCAACCUCGGAACUGCCUUCGAUACUGCGGGUCUCGAGUCCGGGAGAGGUGAGUGGAAUUCCUAGUGUAGAGGUGAAAUUCGUAGAUAUUAGGAAGAACACCAGUGGCGAAGGCGGCUCACUGGCCCGGUACUGACGCUGAGUCGCUAAAGCGUGGGGAGCACACAGG